rnacentral:rRNA from 1 species
GACGAACGCUGGCGGCGUGCUUAACACAUGCAAGUCGAACGGAAAGGCCCCUUUGGGGGUACUCGAGUGGCGAACGGGUGAGUAACACGUGAGUAACCUGCCCUUGACUUUGGGAUAACUUCAGGAAACUGGGGCUAAUACCGGAUAGGAAUCCUUGCUGCAUGGUGGGGGUUGGAAAGCUUCGGCGGUUUUGGAUGGACUCGCGGCUUAUCAGCUUGUUGGUGGGGUAGUGGCUUACCAAGGCUUUGACGGGUAGCCGGCCUGAGAGGGCGACCGGCCACAUUGGGACUGAGAUACGGCCCAGACUCCUACGGGAGGCAGCAGUGGGGAAUAUUGCACAAUGGGCGGAAGCCUGAUGCAGCAACGCCGCGUGCGGGAUGACGGCCUUCGGGUUGUAAACCGCUUUCAGCAGGGGCGAAGCUUGUGGUGACGGUACCUGCAGAAGAAGCACCGGCUAACUACGUG